GUCUGUAUGAAUGGAUUAUGAGUCAGCUCUUCAUAUCUGAUGAAGCAUACAGGGGAAGAAUAAGGGGACAUGAAGAAACUCCUGCUUCUUGUGCUGUAGGGGGAACUGUUGCUCCAGGCAGCCUCUGCAGACGUUUAUGGCGCUCCACUGAAGGACAAGUGAAUGGAGAGAGCUGAGAGCAUAACAGUUCCAGUUGACAGCAGUAACAAUGGCUGUGCCUGCAGCACGGAGACCAUGUGCUCGGGAGGGGUGAUUUUUAACAGUUUCUUGUAAUGUGCUCACUAUGGCAGAUGCAACAUGUUUCUUCAUUACAGGUUUCUUACCUCCUCGUCCCAGCUUGUCUAUUCAGCUCUGUUGUUUACAUUCUUUGUGAGCGUGAGCUGCAGGGUGUGGACAGCCCCCACACGCCCCACCACCACCUAACCACACUGACUGCCUCUCUCUAAUGUCAUCCUGCUUCAAGCCUACACCUAUCUCCUCAUCACUCGAUCCCCGAUAAGGCGGAAAUUCAAUAGCAUUACUCUGCCUGAGAGAACUCCUCACAGCCUGCUGUUUUCUGAGACAAGGCUUUGAAGUGGAUGAGGGAGGCGAGGCAUUAUGUGCCCAGAUGCCAGGAGACAGUGGUUAAGGGGGCUUUAUCACACAGACAGGGGGACAGCACGCAUCUCCUGCCCUCCCAUCUUUUACCACAGCAGGAGGCUGAAUGUGACAACCAUGCUCCCCAUGCUGCUCUGGGGCCAGGCCCGCAAAACCACAGGCGGAUAAUGAAUGCCACACCAUCGUGACAACUUGCACUUUUAUGGAAAGGGGAGGAAGGACAUCUCUGGCACGGACGCUCGCAGCAUUUGAUGAAACAUCCUCCAUAAACCAGACAAUCAAAGAGAAGGCAGUAAAGCAUCUGUGGAAUCUGGGACGGGAACCUCUGCUGAUUUACUACCAAAAAAUAAAAAAGGGCUGUUUCCAAGUAAAGUGUCUAGAGCUUAAUUGCGGGAAAUAUCGCUUUCCAAAUGUAACCACAGCAUCCGUAAACGAUGCAUUACAGUUGCAUUUAUCCAUGAUCGCCCCUACUUUCCUGAUCCGAAUAAGCCACAUGCUAUGAAGCAUCUAUGAACAAUUUCUCCCAAAAUUAAGAGACUUGAGGUUUUCCAAUUGGGUCAGUAUUUGCUAUUCUUGGCUUUCCUUCCUCUCAGUCAUGCUAUUUUGUAUUCCAUACAUCACAGAAAUUACUCUAUAUACCCGUUUGCUUUCGAGGCAAUUGUUACUAGAAAAGGA